AUAGGAUAGCUAAAAUCGUCCAUAUGAGUUAUCUAGGAAUGGAUUUGGAUAGCCUUAAGAGAAGAUUAUCCAAUUAGGGUUUAAUCUGUAACCCUUAAGGAGUCUAUAAGUAUAAAUAGACCCUAUGGCUGAGGGAAUUCGAUACUUCAGAAAAGGUAGAGAACCUCUGGUCGAAUUCCAUCCCUCUCCUCUCUCCCAAAUCAUCCUCCUUGUUAUUGGUGUUUGUAAGCCAUUAGAGGAGUGACAUUUGUGACUCUAGAAGCUUCAAGACCUCAAGAUCAACAAGGAACUCAAAGGUAUGGUUCUAGAUCUGUUUCAAUGUUGUUAUUUAGCCUAAAUAGUUAUUAGAAGUCUUGGAUUAAUAGCAUUUUUAAUUAGAAAGCCUAGAUCCGAGCAUUAGGGUGAGCACAUAGGAAAGUUCUUAUGGCUAAAACCCAUCACUUUGAGUGAGAGACAUCAUAUCUAAGGAUUGUCUUGUAACAAUCUCCGAUAGAGAACUUUGUAAUUUCAUUGGCAAUAGUCAUUGUGACUUUAGUGCAGUAACAUUACAAGAGGAUCAUUGCAUAAAAUAUUAGAAUCUAGCAUAUUCCAUAAGUGACAAGAAUUUGAUAUUCUUUCACUUGUGAAAAGGAUUGGGAGUUGUGAAAUGAGUAUGAUUGGAAAUGUGUUCAUUUGAUCUAGUUCAAGUAAAAAGUUGCAACAAAUAAUGAGUAAUUGAUAUGGUGAUAAAUAAAAGGUGUUUUAUUUAUGCUCAAAGGUUUGAGGCCAUAUGGGAUUAGUAUUAUUCUUGUGUUUCACUUUGCAUGUUUUGACUUCCUGAAUAAUUUAAUUGGUUAAGAACAGUCAAAUUAUUCGAANCUUGUGUUUCACUUUGCAUGUUUUGACUUCCUGAAUAAUUUAAUUGGAUUAGAACAGUCAAAUUAUUCGAACGGGCCACAAUCGUUCAUAUGUUGGAAGUAGGUAUGAAUGAAGACUGUCGUGAAUUGGUGUGUGGAUUGUCUAAAGAGUAUUAGACAUAAGAAAAUGUUUGCUGCAACGUUCAUGAGUGCUUAUGAAUAUGAUUUGAGCAUUGGACUAAACCUACGCUCACUUGGAUCACUCCAUGAAUUGUAUCACGAGUGAUUGGUGAGACGAUAACAUCUUAUAUUCUUGAAACCGAGAUGUGUGAGUUGUAUCUUGCAAAUCGGUUGCACAUUGAUAAUAUGUAAACGCACCAGUAACUUGGUGAACAUAUUAUUGUGUGUGCUUCGGUGAGUGAGUGCAAGCGAGCAUUGAAUCAAAAUUUAUCCGUUCCUUUUAUCCAAAGUAGGAUAAAAUCGAUAUCUUUGGGCCCCUCGAUGAUUUAGUGAUGACAAACGUAAAUGCUCGGCCGAGCUAGGGCUAAUUUGAUUUGUUCAAUUAGUCAGUCGUCAUAAAUCGGAAGUCGAGAAAUAGUACAGAGAGAAUGAUUAGAAAUCAUGUCUCAUAUGAUAUCUAGAAUGGAGGAAUAUAUGAUCCCUUAUCUAAAGGACACGCGUAUCUGAUAGGAUCAGAGUUGACAGCGGCUUUGGAAAGCUACGAUUGCAGAUCAGGAUCUGAAGUCAUACGCAGAAUAGUUAUUAGACUUAUCCAAGUGGGAGACUGUUGGAUUAGUGUCUAAGUCCAUAACUAUUUUGGUAUGUACUUGACCCGAUGGUGCAUGGUCCUUUUGGGUUGCCUUCACCAAAGCAACUUGAUAGGAUGAAUUAUGGAGAGAAAGGAUU
rnacentral:lncRNA from 1 species